GGGGAUGUAGCUCAGUGGUAAAGCGCGUGCUUCGCAUGUAUGAGGUCCUGGGUUCAAUCCCCAGCUUCUCCA
rnacentral:tRNA from 1 species